rnacentral:rRNA from 1 species
AUGGAUUACUCUUGCUGCAACCCUCCCAGUCCUCUCACUCUCCCGCGCGGCCCUGUUGUCGUAGAAACCAAGUUCUCAGCGGGCAGGCAAUGUCCUUAUCGAUCGCCGGUCGACGGCGGAAGUCUGGCUGGCAUCACUAGAAUGAAAACGACGACCCGCCAACGUCCCACGGUGCGUGGCAUUAUUAUAGCUGAACCGCGGGCGCUGCGGAAGCUAUUUAUAGGCAACAAAAGGGAAGCGACGGUGCGCGUGCGUGACGAACUGACGACCGCGAGGAGGCAGGGAGGAGGACGACGUGCGACGAAAACGAUGGCGAGGACCACGACCAUGCGCGUGGCGACGGUGUGCAUGCUUCUGCUGCUGCUCGUCUCGACGGCCACGGCCACGGCGACGGAGCGCCCCCAGCGCCGGGACCUGGCGGAAGAGGGCACGAGCCCGGCGGCGGCGACCCCGGGUGCCGACGGCGCCCCGGCCGACAAGGAACCCCCGGAAGGCCACCUCGGCUUCCGCGUCGUCACGGGCCUCAUCGAGAAGGCUACCGGCAAGAGCGCCCGUCUGGACCUGGAGCAGGAGGAGAAAGUUCAUUAG